UAACGCGUGGGUAAUCUGCCCUUAGGUUUGGGAUAACCCCGGGAAACCGGAGCUAAUACCGAAUAAGACCACGAUGACCUCGGUUGACGUGAGAAAAGAUGGCCUCUUCUUGAAAGCUAUCGCCAAAGGAUGAGCCCGCGUUUGAUUAGCUUGUUGGUGAGGUAAAGGCUCACCAAGGCUCCGAUCAAUAGCUGGUCUGAGAGGAUGAUCAGCCACACUGGAACUGAGACACGGUCCAGACUCCUACGGGAGGCAGCAGUCGGGAAUAUUGGGCAAUGGGCGAAAGCCUGACCCAGCAACGCCGCGUGAAGGAUGAAGGCCUUCGGGUCGUAAACUUCUGUCGAGAGGGAAGAAAGCGUGCGGGUGAAUAAUCCGUACGUCUGACGGUACCUCCAAAGGAAGCACCGGCUAACUCCGUGCCAGCAGCCGCGGUAAUACGGAGGGUGCAAGCGUUGUUCGGAAUUAUUGGGCGUAAAGCGAGUGUAGGCGGUUUGGCAAGUCGGAUGUGAAAGCCCAGGGCCCAACCCUGGAAUUGCAUCCGAUACUGUCAGGCUAGAGUCCCGGAGAGGGUGGCGGAAUUCCCGGUGUAGGGGUGAAAUCCGUAGAUAUCGGGAGGAACACCAGUGGCGAAGGCGGCCACCUGGACGGUGACUGACGCUGAGACUCGAAAGCGUGGGUAGCAAACAGGAUUAGAUACCCUGGUAGUCCACGCCGUAAACGGUGAGUGCUUGUCGUCGUGGGUAUUGACCCCUGCGGUGACCAAGUUAAUGCAUGAAGCACUCCGCCUGGGAAGUACGGUCGCAAGACUAAAACUCAAAGAAAUUGACGGGGGCCCGCACAAGCGGUGGAGCAUGUUGUUUAAUUCGAAGCAACGCGCAGAACCUUACCUGGAUUUGACAUCCUCGGAAUCUCUCUGAAAGGAGAGAGUGCCUUCGGGAGCCGAGAGACAGGUGCUGCAUGGCUGUCGUCAGCUCGUGUCGUGAGGUGUUGGGUUAAGUCCCGCAACGAGCGCAACCCCUAUCGUUAGUUGCUAGCAGUUCGGCUGAGCACUCUAGCGAGACUGCCGGUGUUAAACCGGAGGAAGGUGGGGAUGACGUCAAGUCCUCAUGGCCUUUAUGUCCAGGGCUACUAACGUGCUACAAUGGUCGGUACAGACGGUCGCGAACUCGCGAGGGCAAGCCAAUCCUAAAAAGCCGGCCUCAGUUCGGA
rnacentral:rRNA from 1 species